CGAGUAAGCCAGAUGGUCGCGUACAUUAUGUACGAGGAAAGUCCGAGCUCCACAGGGCAAGGUGCCGGGUAAUACCCGGUGGAGGUGACUCCAAGGAAAGUGCAACAGAGAUAUACCGCCUAUCACUAAUUCGUCAAUGCGGAUUGGUGGUGGGUAAGGGUGGAAAGGCGAGGUAAGAGCUCACCAGCAUCCAGGCGACUGGAAUGCUCUGUAAACCCCACCUGGAGCAAGGUAGAAUAGGAGGGAAAUACAAGUGGCCCGCUUGACCCUCGGGUAAAACCGCUGGAGGUAUCAGGCAACUGAUAUCGUAGAUAGAUGACCAUCUAAAACAGAACUCGGCUUAUAGACUUGCUCGUAUU
rnacentral:RNase_P_RNA from 2 species